UCGAACCUGCAAGGCAGACCCGCGAACAUGUCAAUCAAACUCGUGGCCGUGAUUUCGGACGUCGUUGCGUCCGCAUGUCAUGGUCCGCGUAUUAUACAUAUAAGCCCAGACGGCUCGAGUCUGUCGGGCGAACUAACCUCUCGGCGCAGAAAGCGUCAAGGAAAACCAAACCGAUCGCCUCUCCUCAUGGGUGCCGUGCGCUGUGCCCAAUAUGUGGAGGAGCGUCUAUCGAAAUAGUCGUAACGACUCUCGGCAACGGAUAUCUCGGCUCUCGCAUCGAUGAAGAACGUAGCGAAAUGCGAUACUUGGUGUGAAUUGCAGAAUCCCGUGAACCAUCGAGUCUUUGAACGCAAGUUGCGCCCGAAGCCAUCAGGCCGAGGGCACGUCUGCCUGGGCGUCGCGCAUCUCGUCGCCCCCCACCCCGAAGCCAUCUUUUCCCCACAUAUCGUCGGGAAGUGAUGGGGGGUGUGAAUUGUGUGGGCGGAAACUGGCCUUCCGUUAUCGGUGUGUAGCGGCCGGCCCAAAGUGAAAUCGUGCCGACGAAUGAGACACGAUAAGUGGUGGUUGGAUUCCUCAACUCGCAAGCUAUCGUGUCGGACCUUCUGUCGAGCCACGGCCCGGACCCAACGGCGAAAAAUGCCCUCGAAUGUUGUA
rnacentral:rRNA from 1 species